rnacentral:tRNA from 1 species
UUACUUUGGCAGAUUAGUGCUUUAAAUUUAGACUUUAAAUAUAUGUAAUUUUUACAUAGGUAAUACAUU